AGAAUCAACGCUGGCGGCGUGCCUAACACAUGCAAGUCGCACGAGAAAGGGACUUCGGUCCUGAGUACAGUGGCGCACGGGUGAGUAACACGUGAAUAAUCUACCUCCGAGUGGGGAAUAACUGAGAGAAAUCUUAGCUAAUACCGCAUAACACUUACGAGUCAAAGCAGCAAUGCGCUUGGAGAGGAGUUCGCGGCAGAUUAGUUAGUUGGCGGGGUAAUGGCCCACCAAGACGAUGGAUCUGUA
rnacentral:rRNA from 1 species